UGGCACAAUGGUUGAGCACUUGGCUGCUAACCAAAAGGUUGGUGGUUCAAACUCACC
rfam:Loxodonta africana unplaced genomic scaffold scaffold_45, whole genome shotgun sequence.